UCGGGAAUUUUGGGCAAUGGGCGAAAGCCUGACCCAGCAACGCCGCGUGAAGGAUGAAGUAUUUCGGUAUGUAAACUUCGAAAGAAUAGGAAGAAUAAAUGACGGUACUAUUUAUAAGGUCCGGCUAACUACGUGCCAGCAGCCGCGGUAAUGCGUAGGGACUAAGCGUUGUUCGGAUUUACUGGGCGUAAAGGGCGCGUAGGCGGCAAUUCAAGUCAUCUGUGAAAUCUCCGGGCUUAACUCGGAACGGUCAGAUGAUACUGCUUUGCUAGAGUGCAGAAGGGGCAAUCGGAAUUCUUGGUGUAGCGGUGAAAUGCGUAGAUAUCAAGAGGAACACCUGAGGUGAAGACGGGUUGCUGGGCUGACACUGACGCUGAGGCGCGAAAGCCAGGGGAGCAAACGGGAUUAGAUACCCCUGUAGUCCCUGAGCGGGCUGGCAAGGCGCAU
rnacentral:rRNA from 1 species